rnacentral:sRNA from 1 species
CGGCUCUUCCGCGCCGUCCGCGCCCACCUGACAACCGCUCGCUACGUUUUGCCAG